rnacentral:rRNA from 1 species
ACCGAUGCAAACUCCGAAUACCGAUGAGUGAUAUCCGGGAGACAGACUGCGGGUGCUAACGUCCGUAGUCAAGAGGGAAACAACCCAGACCGCCAGCUAAGGCCCCAAAUUCCUAGUUAAGUGGGAAACGAUGUGGGAAGGCUUAGACAGCUAGGAGGUUGGCUUAGAAGCAGCCACCCUUUAAAGAAAGCGUAAUAGCUCACUAGUCGAGUCGGCCUGCGCGGAAGAUGUAACGGGGCUCAAACUAGGAGCCGAAGCUGCGGAUUUAAUUGUUUCAAUUAAGUGGUAGGGGAGCAUUGUGUAAGCCUGUGAAGGUGUGUUGUAAAGCAUGCUGGAGGUAUCACAAGAGCGAAUGCUGACGUGAGUAACGACAAUGCGAGUGAAAAGCUCGCACGCCGGAAGACCAAGGGUUCCAGUCCAACGUUAAUCGGGGCUGGGUGAGUCGACCCCUAAGGCGAGGCCGAAAGGCGUAGUCGAUGGGAAAUCGGUUAAUAUUCCGAUACUUGUUUAUGAUGCGAUGGAGGGACGGAGAAGGUUAUGCCAGCUUGGCGAUGGUUGUCCAAGUGGAAGGAUGUAGUUAGGUUUAGUAGGCAAAUCCGCUAGACUAUUAAUGAGAUCUGAUAGCAAGCUGUACUUGUACAGCGAAGUGGCAAAUACCCUGCUUCCAGGAAAAGCUUCUAAGCGAUAGUCAUAAAGAAAUCGUACCCGAAACCGACACAGGUGGUCAGGUAGAGAAUACCAAGGCGCUUGAGAGAACUCUGCUGAAGGAACUAGGCAAAAUGGUACCGUAACUUCGGGAGAAGGUACGCUGCCGAUGGUGAGUAGUCACGCACUACAAAGCUAUUGGCAGUCGCAGAUACCAGGCCGCUGCAACUGUUUAUUAAAAACACAGCACUCUGCAAACACGAAAGUGGACGUAUAGGGUGUGAUGCCUGCCCGGUGCUGGAAGGUUAAUUGAUGGGGUUAGCGUAAGCGAAGCUCUUGAUCGAAGCCCCAGUAAACGGCGGCCGUAACAAUAACGGUCCUAAGGUAGCGAAAUUCCUUGUCGGGUAAGUUCCGACCUGCACGAAUGGCAUAAUGAUGGGGGG